AACGACUCUAACAUGUACAGCUGGUAUCUGGUUUGAAAUUAAGUCGAAAGUUUAUGCGACCUUCCAUCGUAAGCGGUUGAAGGAGCUACCAUUUGUGUAUCAUGAAGAGUUUAUCCUAAACUUUUCAAGUUCGUCGUUUGUAAUCCGUAUUAAUCUUCUCCAUCCUUAGCGAUCCUUGUGUUAAGUAUCUUUUAAGCGUUUUUCUUUCUAAUACACUUUUUUUUUCUUUCUUAGUACACUUACACUAGGGUUCUCUGAAUUUAAAGGCAAUGUAUUGUACGUGGCCAAAAUAACUCAGUCAAAAUACCGUGAUUGAACUCCUUUAAGUGAAACUAUCUUAACUUAUCACAAUGUACUGCCCCCUACAGAUUAGGUUAGACGGCUCAACUCUACCUUCAACGAGCGGUUCCUUUUCCUCGUGAUCUUUCUUCGUCUCUGUUAUCGUCUUCCCAUGUUUAUGCAACUUAUAUUGAAGUUUGUUGUUGUUAUUUGAACUUACAGGCCUGAAGCAGUGUGUCUGGUAGACGCCUUUGAUCAUUCAGAUUACGUACUCAACUCACCGCUUGGACGCUACGAUGGGAACGUAUAUGAAGCCCUUUUUAGAUGGGCUCAGAGAUCAGCUUUGAAUAAGGAAGAGGUUCAGCCAGGUUACUACAAGUACCUGCGGCCGUUAAUGAACAGCAACAAAUCUAAAUUGUAGCUGAAAGUAAAACAGCUCAUUUACUGUGUAGUAACAAUCAAACGGGUGGGGAGAAUCCGCUGAUCUAUUCGACCUUGCGCCUGCACUCACCUGGCACAGCGGCUUUCUAUAACGAACGUUUCGAACCUCUGCGGAGGAGAGAAGCCUGUGGAGGAGGCUGUUCAAGUAUAUUUAAGAAAAAUAAAAUAUCGAUUACUCUUGAAAGUUUAAACGA